GGGCGGUUAGCUCAGCUGGCUAGAGCGUCUCGUUUACACCGAGAAGGUCGAGGGUUCAAAUCCUUCACCGCCCA
rnacentral:tRNA from 9 species